rnacentral:rRNA from 1 species
UACGAAGGGGGCUAGCGUUGUUCGGAAUUACUGGGCGUAAAGCGCACGUAGGCGGGUCUGUAAGUAGAGGGUGAAAUCCCAGGGCUCAACCCUGGAACUGCCUUCUAGACUGCAGGCCUCGAGGUCAGGAGAGGCGAGUGGAAUACCGAGUGUAGAGGUGAAAAUUCGUAGAUAUUCGGUGGAACACCAGUGGCGAAGGCGACUCGCUGGACUGAUACUGACGCUGAGGUGCGAAAAGCGCGGGGGAGCAAACAGG